rnacentral:lncRNA from 1 species
AUGGAAAAUUUGAAUAUAAGGAAUCUUGGCCUCUACCUUCCAAGGGUUCACAUCCUACGUUGUGAGGAAAUCAGACACAUCUAUUAUGAGUCUCCUCAAAUAAAGAAUAUGAGAAGAAUAAUCACAGAGCAAGAAACAGGAAGAUUAACUCUCAUCAGCAAACCCUCACGAGGCUGCUGUUGUCCUCUCUACUCUCUUCUCUGCCGGACACUUUCAAUCAUUCUGGAAUGCCCUUUCAAAUGGGGGCCCGCCUCAGUCCCCAAGGUGUUUCUAAUGAAAGCAGUGACUUCUGGGAGUCCACCCUAUCCCUGGGUGCCAGCACUCCCACUGGAUCCUGGCCAACACCUCGAAAUGAGGUGUACCCUAAUUCUAGAGUGGAGUCAGGAGGAUCCAGAUGGAUUGCCACUUUUAACUGGUAUAAAUUACAGCCCGCAAGCAGAGGUGUGCAAGAAAUAGUAUGACACUUUUUUUUACAACUCCAUUUAAUUUGUAUUUUAAGCCUUGAUCCUGCUGGUGUCCUGUUUGGAUUUCCAUCCAUCCCUAUUUGGAAGUCAUACAGGGCCAAGGUUUUGAGGGAGGGGACAGAAGCAUGGUCAUUGUUGACUGGAGCACACAGUGCAGUGAAGACAUCCAUCAGCUCGGACGUCUUGCCUCCUUUAGGUUUGGUGGCUCCUGUGCCAUGUGGGCUUCCCUUGUGGCUCAGUGGUAAAGAAUCCACCUGCCAAUGCAGGAGAUCCAGGUUCCAUCUCUGGAUCAGGAAGAUCCCCUGGAAAAGGAAUAGUAACCUGGUCCAGUAUUCUUGCCUGGAAAAUCCCAUGGAUGGGGAGCAUGGCAGUCUGUAGUCCCUGGGGUCAAAAAGAGGCAGACACGACUGAGCAGCUGAGCAGGCAUGUGCCAGGUGUGGGACAGAUUGCCAUGAUUCUGCUUGUAUGCACACUACAGCCAUCUCCUUCCAGAAUUUUUGCCCCACUACCCCUCCAACCACACUUGAGAGGCCUUUUCUCCUCCAGGAUCCACAGGCAUCCCUCUCUGACUUAAUUAGCGCCUUUCAACACUCCAAGAGGGAAAAAAGACAGUAUGUAAUUUCAAAAACCUGCUUCUGUUACAUUUCUGUUCAAGUAUCUUCUCUUUUCCGUGGUGUUUGGGAUUUCAGAAAUAAAAGCCAAGAUCAUCAGCA